GUCAGCAGCCAUAUCGCCCUGCAACUCACAACUGGCAACCCACAGAAGCUAAACAGGUGUGUGCCUGGUCAGUACCUGGAUAGGAGACUCCUGGGAAAAACUCCUUGGUCUCUGCUGGAA
rnacentral:rRNA from 1 species